rnacentral:lncRNA from 1 species
AGAAGUUGUUCUUUACUUUUUAAAGAGUAAAUUCUCUCACCUCAGGUAGCUCAGAGAGCUGCGCUGGAGGAGAAAGGCAAUCCUGGCAGGAGCUCUGGUACCUGGCAAGCUGGAUGGAGAGCCUGGGCCAGAAUCCCGGACCCCUCGCCUCUGCAGCCUAGCUUUGUGACCUUGGCAAAUCCAUUCUAUGCGCCUCCGUUUCCUGUACAGUGGGGAUACUUAUUUCUCUGGCACAGAUUGGUAUUUGUUCUGUAAAGCCCAGUACCACUUUAUUUUAUUUUAGUUAUUGAUUUUUUUGAGACAGGGCCUCACUCUGUUGCCAAGGCUGGAAUGCAGUGGCGAGAUCAUAGCUCGCUGCAGCCUCAAACUCCUGGACUCAGGCCAUCCUCCUGCCUCAGCCUCCUGAGUAGCUGGGACGACAGGCAUGCCCCACUGCGCCUAGCUCCAGUACCAUGUUUAAACGCUGCUCAGAAAACUUGCUAAACUUGGUGGAUGGGAAUUGAAAACAGAUUUAAUGUUUUAAAAAUCACAGUCACCCAGCUGCAGUGCCACAUGGGAAGGAGGCCUGAACGUGAAUGUUGGUGGGAGCUGAGAGCUCCUGUGACUGCCACCAGUGUCCUGUGGUCUCCCACAGACUCGGGACAUCUCCCUCUGCACCAGGACACCUCAGGACCACCAGAGGGCACUCAUCGUACCUUCACCCCCGGAAGUGAGCUGGUCCUGGGGGCAAAACCCACUGUGCCUGGGAAGCCCUUCCUGGCUUCUGCUCUCCUCAAUGUAUGACAGCCCUGAUUUACCCCCAGGGACUGUUGCCACUCGGGGUUGUAGAGUAAUAUGUAACCAGACUGGAGAACCGCAGCAAUGCUCUCUCCUCUGUCCAUCACCUCCCGUUGGCCCCUCCCACUUCAUCAGCCCCAUUUUGGAGAAGGGAGAAAGAAGGGAGAGGCAGCAGUCUCCUCCCAGGUGGGGCCGGACUCCAGGGAAGGAGAAUUUUCAGAAGUUGCUGGAGUUGCCGAAUCUGUCAGGGCCUGGGGUUCACAGAGCAGUGAUGGAGGAGAAAGGAGAGGAAGCAGAUCUAAGCACACACGGGCAUCAAACCAGAGAAACAAAGUCACAUGCAGAGGGCUGCCAUAGACACAAGGAAACACACACGGAGAUGCACAGAAACACGCAGACCCCACGCAGGGACCUGCUUUCCCGCCACAGAGGAAAGCAAUCUGAUCAAACAGACCCACUGUGCACCCAGCCCUCCAUGCUCGGGGACAACACACCUACAAAAAUAUAAGAAAAAAAGGGAAAA